rnacentral:rRNA from 1 species
GUCCACGCCGUAAACGAUGAGUGCUAGAUGUUUCUGGUAUUGACCCCGGAGGCGUCGUAGCUAACGCGUUAAGCACUCCGCCUGGGGAGUACGGCCGCAAGGCUAAAACUCAAAGGAAUUGACGGGGGCCCCGCACAAGCGGUGGAGCAUGUGGUUCAAUUCGACGCAACGCGAAGAACCUUACCUGGGUUGGAACCCUCCAGAAGUCCGCAGAGAUGUGGAUGUGCCCGCAAGGGAACUGGAUGUCCAGGUGCUGCAUGGCUGUCGU